rnacentral:rRNA from 1 species
AUUGAACGCUGGCGGAAUGCUUUACACAUGCAAGUCGAACGGCAGCACGGGGGCAACCCUGGUGGCGAGUGGCGAACGGGUGAGUAAUACAUCGGAACGUGCCCAGUCGUGGGGGAUAACGUAGCGAAAGCUACGCUAAUACCGCAUACGAACUCUGGUUGAAAGCGGGGGAUCGCAAGACCUCGCGCGAUUGGAGCGGCCGAUGGCAGAUUAGGUAGUUGGUGGGGUAAAGGCNCACCAAGCCGACGAUCUGUAGCUGGUCUGAGAGGACGACCAGCCACACUGGGACUGAGACACGGCCCAGACUCCUACGGGAGGCAGCAGUGGGGAAUUUUGGACAAUGGGCGCAAGCCUGAUCCAGCCAUUCCGCGUGCAGGAUGAAGGCCCUCGGGUUGUAAACUGC